rnacentral:rRNA from 1 species
GCGCAAUGGGCGAAAGCCUGACGCAGCAACGCCGCGUGGGGGAUGACGGCCUUCGGGUUGUAAACCUCUUUCGACAGGGACGAAGCUUUCGGGUGACGGUACCUGUAGAAGAAGCACCGGCUAACUACGUGCCAGCAGCCGCGGUAAUACGUAGGGUGCGAGCGUUGUCCGGAUUUAUUGGGCGUAAAGAGCUCGUAGGCGGUUUGUCGCGUCGGCCGUGAAAACCUGCAGCUCAACUGUGGGCGUGCGGUCGAUACGGGCAGACUUGAGUUCGGCAGGGGAGACUGGAAUUCCUGGUGUAGCGGUGAAAUGCGCAGAUAUCAGGAGGAACACCGGUGGCGAAGGCGGGUCUCUGGGCCGAUACUGACGCUGAGGAGCGAAAGCAUGGGGAGCGAACAGGAUUAGAUACCCUGGUAGUCCAUGCCGUAAACGUUGGGCGCUAGGUGUGGGGGAUGGGUUCCACCGUUUCCGUGCCGUAGCUAACGCAUUAAGCGCCCCGCCUGGGGAGUACGGCCGCAAGGCU